GGGGUUGUAGCUCAGUUGAUAGAGUGCUUGCCUAGUAUGCACAAGGCCCUGGGUUCAAUCCCCAGCAACACACA
rnacentral:tRNA from 1 species